UAAUUACAAGGAGUUUUGUUAAGGCUAAUG
rnacentral:piRNA from 1 species